rnacentral:rRNA from 1 species
UAGAGUUUGAUCCUGGCUCAGGAUGAACGCUGGCGGCGUGCCUAAUACAUGCAAGUCGAACGCACAGCGAAAGGUGCUUGCACCUUUCAAGUGAGUGGCGAACGGGUGAGUAACACGUGGAUAACCUACCUCAAGGUUGGGGAUAACAUUUGGAAACAGAUGCUAAUACCGAAUAAAACUUCGUAUCGCAUGAUACAAGGUUAAAAGGCGCUACGGCGUCACCUAGAGAUGGAUCCGCGGUGCAUUAGUUAGUUGGUGGGGUAAAGGCCUACCAAGACAAUGAUGCAUAGCCGAGUUGAGAGACUGAUCGGCCACAUUGGGACUGAGACACGGCCCAAACUCCUACGGGAGGCUGCAGUAGGGAAUCUUCCACAAUGGGCGAAAGCCUGAUGGAGCAACGCCGCGUGUGUGAUGAAGGCUUUCGGGUCGUAAAGCACUGUUGUAUGGGAAGAACAGCUAGAGUAGGGAAUGACUUUAGUUUGACGGUACCAUACCAGAAAGGGACGGCUAAAUACGUGCCAGCAGCCGCGGUAAUACGUAUGUCCCGAGCGUUAUCCGGAUUUAUUGGGCGUAAAGCGAGCGCAGACGGUUGAUUAAGUCUGAUGUGAAAGCCCGGAGCUCAACUCCGGAAAGGCAUUGGAAACUGGUCAACUUGAGUGCAGUAGAGGUAAGUGGAACUCCAUGGGUAGCGGUGGAAUGCGUAGAUAUAUGGAAGAACACCAGCGGCGAAGGCGGCUUACUGGACUGUAACUGACGUUGAGGCUCGAAAGUGUGGGUAGCAAACAGGAUUAGAUACCCUGGUAGUCCACACCGUAAACGAUGAACACUAGGUGUUAGGAGGUUUCCGCCUCUUAGUGCCGAAGCUAACGCAUUAAGUGUUCCGCCUGGGGAGUACGACCGCAAGGUUGAAACUCAAAGGAAUUGACGGG